CACGGAGCUUCUGCAUUAGCUUCGGCUUGUCCUGGUACUAUUGAACUGUCAAGAUGGACGAAUAUGCUGGAGAUGGCAAUAGCGAAAAAUUAAUAACUCAAUGUGGCAGGAGACGUUAAUGUGCCCGUCUUCCGUACUUUGCAAUCGCACCCGCCUUGCUUGUACAGUCACACAUCAGAAGUUCCACAGUAUUCCCAGGCCGACGUGCUCGUGUCUCGACCUUCUCUCAAGCGAUUCUGGCUUUAACCGAACCCCAAGACCAACAAUGGUGCGGCGCAAUAAUCUUGGUGAAGACAUUGUUUACCUACAAAGAAGUGACUGCGUCGGCACUGCUUGGGACGAAAGAGCUGACAGCAAUUGGAGUAGGUGACAGCGACGAAACAUGGCACGCCUGUGAUGAGUAGAGCGUGGCGGAUGCUCGGCCUUCGGGAAAAGUUGAAGACAUAGUCCGAAAUUCAAGAAAAAAAGACAAGUCUCAUUUACCGCAGUAUUCACAAUGAAGUGGGCAAAGGAAUCGUUGGUUGACAGAGGACACGGGGACUGGCACUGUCAGCAUAGUCGACAUUCGUUACAUAGGGCUGAGUACGGCGAUGCUUCGGACAAUAUUUGGUGUGGGAUACGAACAAACCCAGCUCAAAAUAAAAUGGCGCUGGUCUGUCCCUUGAAGGUUGAGUUAAGCGAUCAAGUCAUGUUCCACAUCGGUCAAGCAGUCAACUGUAGUUGAACGUUGAGAGAAGAAACUUGUGUCCGGUUAUCAUGUCUUGGGGACUGCGGUCAACAACAUGGACGAAAACGGCUGUGUGGAGGAAACCAACACUCCCACGUGAAGCGCACAUCCAGAGCGUGGCCGUAGUUCCGCCGCCAGCGACACGGACACCAUGUUACUCGGAGGUUUUGAGGAUUUUCUUUGGCCGUACACGGUGGGUAGCUCACGAUCCAAAUUUGUGCCCCUGCGUCAUUUACGGCGGAAACGGGUAGGGCACUGCCUAUGACACCCUUUGAGGAUCCGAUUGUAAAUGUUUCACCUUUGUAACACUUGUAGUUUGUAGCACUUGUAGUUUAUGAAAUGUGCUAGCACUAAAAUGUUCUUCUUAACUUCUAUUUACGUACAAUUAAUUUUUCUGGAAAUCCGCACAGCCUCUUUUAAAACAAACGUUCACUCCUUUCUACAGAAAGUUUUUAUCCCAACUAAGAUUUUUUACGCUCCAUGUACGAAAUGGUCGGGACCCUCCUAAGUCUGGCCUUAACUCACAUUGAUACGUCAGUAGUUUUAGGAGCAGUAUUGCAGUUCGAGAUUCUGAUAAAGGGUUAUCUUCAAGAGCUUUAUUUCUCCUUUUUCACGGAAAGGGCAUAUUGAGGGCUGUGGUGACGAAAAGCGACGGUAAAGUGGUGACCGUAACGACGAUGCGCGGAGAAGCCGAAGGGCUCGAUCGUCAUGAAGGGUGCGCGAUUAUGAGUAUAAAAUGCGUCAUCCGUUUAUUGUGAUGCGAUAGUAACAAAAGAGUACAUAUGUGAUGGUGGUUGGUGACACAGGCAGUAAUGCAAAAUAUGCCUCACACUGUGGCAGUGAAACCAAAAUAGCUUGUCCUCCUACAUUGUCCAAUAUGCGGUAUAACAACAAUGGCGAAGCAUAGAUGGCAUUCGAGAUGUGGGAGCCAGCUUACUAAGGCAACGUGGAGAAUAUGCCGGCUGUAAUUCUACGUUAGCCUGCGCAGCGGCCUGAACUAAAGAAAUGGUAGAUGGGUUUCGAGGCGGAGUGC